rnacentral:tRNA from 1 species
GCUGGAGUACAGCUCAGCGGUAGAGCACUUGCCUAGCACACAUGAGGCUCUGGGUUUAAUCCCCAGCACUAUUU